CUUUGACCUCAAAUCAGGUAGGACUACCCGCUGAACUUAAGCAUAUCAAUAAGCGGAGGAAAAGAAACCAACAGGGAUUGCCUCAGUAGCGGCGAGUGAAGCGGCAAAAGCUCAAAUUUGAAAUCUGGCGUCUUUGGCGUCCGAGUUGUAAUUUGAAGAAGGUAUCUUUGGGCCCGGCUCUUGUCUAUGUUCCUUGGAACAGGACGUCACAGAGGGUGAGAAUCCCGUGCGAUGAGAUGACCCGGGUCUGUGUAAAGUUCCUUCGACGAGUCGAGUUGUUGG
rnacentral:rRNA from 1 species